rnacentral:rRNA from 1 species
GAUUGAACGCUGGCGGCAGGCCUAACACAUGCAAGUCGAGCGGAUGAAGGGAGCUUGCUCCUGGAUUCAGCGGCGGACGGGUGAGUAAUGCCUAGGAAUCUGCCUGGUAGUGGGGGAUAACGUCCGGAAACGGGCGCUAAUACCGCAUACGUCCUGAGGGAGAAAGUGGGGGAUCUUCGGACCUCACGCUAUCAGAUGAGCCUAGGUCGGAUUAGCUAGUUGGUGGGGUAAAGGCCUACCAAGGCGACGAUCCGUAACUGGUCUGAGAGGAUGAUCAGUCACACUGGAACUGAGACACGGUCCAGACUCCUACGGGAGGCAGCAGUGGGGAAUAUUGGACAAUGGGCGAAAGCCUGAUCCAGCCAUGCCGCGUGUGUGAAGAAGGUCUUCGGAUUGUAAAGCACUUUAAGUUGGGAGGAAGGGCAGUAAGUUAAUACCUUGCUGUUUUGACGUUACCAACAGAAUAAGCACCGGCUAACUUCGUGCCAGCAGCCGCGGUAAUACGAAGGGUGCAAGCGUUAAUCGGAAUUACUGGGCGUAAAGCGCGCGUAGGUGGUUCAGCAAGUUGGAUGUGAAAUCCCCGGGCUCAACCUGGGAACUGCAUCCAAAACUACUGAGCUAGAGUACGGUAGAGGGUGGUGGAAUUUUCCUGUGUAGCGGUGAAAUGCGUAGAUAUAGGAAGGAACACCAGUGGGCGAAAGGCGACCACCUGGACUGAUACUGACACUGAGGUGCGAAAGCGUGGGGAGCAAACAGGAUUUAGAUACCCUGGUAGUCCACGCCGUAAACGAUGUCGACUAGCCGUUGGGAUCCCUUGAGAUCUUAGUGGCGCAGCUAACGCGAUAAGUCGACCGCCUGGGGAGUACGGCCGCAAGGUUAAAACUCAAAUGAAUUGACGGGGGCCCGCACAAGCGGUGGAGCAUGUGGUUUAAUUCGAAGCAACGCGAAGAACCUUACCUGGCCUUGACAUGCUGAGAACUUUCCAGAGAUGGAUUGGUGCCUUCGGGAACUCAGACACAGGUGCUGCAUGGCUGUCGUCAGCUCG